CACUGUUAUUCAAAAAAAAAAAAAAAAAAAAAAAAGAACCAACAUUGAUUGAUCUGAAGCUGAAGUUAUUGUUCUGAAGUAAACAAAGGAUGCCGCUUUGGCCAGCGCCACAGGCGACGACGAUGAUGAAGACGUCCAAGGCAUCAUGCAUUUUGCCGGUUUUGUAGAAAUGAGAGGUUUAGGGAAAUUGAUAUUCUGAUGACGGGAAGGAUUACUGUUUUGUGAUUCAUGAAAUUGUGUGGUCCAUGAGAUCAUGAGGAUCAUGAGCAGCUGUUGGUGCUUUCAUCGUUAAAGUCUUCUUUGCUCCCAAGAGGCACAAGACCAAGUUUCAAAGCUCAGGGCCUCAUGCAACAAUAAUUUCAGCGAGGCCUAUUUCUUCUUCUGAUUGCAAGAGCUCAGCCCUGGCCAACGUUUGCAAUAGCCAUAGAGCUCUGGCCAUCAUACUGAUUGACAUAAUUACCGAACGGAUCCAUUGUUUUCUCUACUCAAGAAGACUCCAUCCACCAUGAUGAGAAUGGCAGAAAUUGGCGGAUCUGCCUUCAUCGAUCAAAGUUAAAAAAAAAAAAAAAAAACUCAUGUUCUGCUCUGCUUUCAUUUGGUGUUGUCCAUUGAAGUCUCAAUGUAAAAUCAAACCGGCUUGGAUGAAGAAAUCAGCCCUGUAUUUUCAGUUUGAAAGAAUGCAGCUUAAUAUUGCGAUUACACGAUCUCUUUGUUCUUAAUAUUGUUGACGAUUUCUGUUUCGUCUUAUUUAACAAAAGAAUACCAAUUCUCUGUUCCUGUUCUUAUUCUAUUGUCCAAA